UACGUAGGGUGCGAGCGUUAAUCGGAAUUACUGGGCGUAAAGCGUGCGCAGGCGGUUUGUAAGCCAGAUGUGAAAUCCCCGGGCUUAACCUGGGAAUCGGCAUUUGGGACUGCAAGGCUUGAGUGCGGCAGAGGAGACUGGAAUUCCUGGUGUAGCAGUGGAAAUUGCGUAGAUAUCAGGAGGAACACCGAUGGCGAAGGCAGGUCUCUGGGCUGACACUGACGCUCAUGCACGAAAGCGUGGGAGCAACAGG
rnacentral:rRNA from 1 species